rnacentral:rRNA from 1 species
GACGUAGGGCGCGAGCGUUGUCCGGAUUUAUUGGGCGUAAAGAGCUCGUAGGCGGCUUGUCGCGUCGGCUGUGAAAUCCCGUGGCUCAACUGCGGGUCUGCAGCCGAUACGGGCAGGCUAGAGUUCGGUAGGGGAGACUGGAAUUCCUGGUGUAGCGGUGAAAUGCGCAGAUAUCAGGAGGAACACCGGUGGCGAAGGCAGGUCUCUGGGCUGACACUGACGCUCAUGCACGAAAGCGUGGGGAGCAAACAGG